CAACGAUAGUUUAGUUUAGGUUGAAGCUUAACCACUGGUGGCGUUGAUUGCGGAAUCUGUAACCGUCGUCGGCGAUGGCUUCUGCGUUUUGUAAAUCAGCGGCGAGAGUGGCUUCCAGUUCCUUCGCUAAUCGUUCUAGAAGCUUCGCUCAAAAAUCGUCAAUUCCUCUUCUAUUUUCUUCGCGCGUUUCUCGUGCUUCAAGGAUUUUGUCAGUUGUUGGAAGCGUUGAAUCUUUGAUGCCAUUUCAUAGUGCCAUUGCUGAUGCUAGACUUACUUCUAAUAUCGCCUCCGAUUCUACCUGCUGGAGCUGGCUUUCUCAAGGACUUGAAAAAACAUUGUGACAGGCCUGCUGGAUCCAUUCAAGAUGAAAGAAAAAAUGAAACAGAGAUAAUCCUAGUUUUUCUUUUGUCUCGCUGUAUUGUGUGCCAACUGCAGAAUUACUUUGCAGUUCCUCGGUGACAAAGACUAAAGAAUUCAAUCAUUUCAAUCCUUGUUGGGUUGCAUUAGAGUUAACGUUGCUUAACAUCUUAAUCUUGGCCUAUUUCCACUAUGGCUGUCACAUUAUCUGGAUUCCCAUCAUUCAGUAUCGAUGUAUCACAAAUUCGUAAAACUGUUGUUAUUCUUAAUGACGUAAACCUCCCAUCAGUUUCCACAACAUCAUGAUAUAAGACAAUACACUAUUCUCAUAUGAUAGUAUUUCUGUUUCUAAAGAUAAGAUUUUGUUGAAUAAAUUAUGGGAAUUAAGAAAAA